GCAUUGGUGGUUUAGUGGUAUAAUGGUCCGUUGCCAUCGGACCGACCCGGGUUCGAUUCCCGGCCGAUGCA